rnacentral:rRNA from 1 species
GAUGAACGCUGGCGGCGUGCCUAAUACAUGCAGGUCGAGCGAACAGACGAGGAGCUUGCUCCUUUGACGUUAGCGGCGGACGGGUGAGUAACACGUGGGUAACCUACCUAUAAGACUGGGAUAACUUCGGGAAACCGGAGCUAAUACCGGAUAAUAUUUCGAACCGCAUGGUUCGAUAGUGAAAGAUGGCUCUGCUAUCACUUAUAGAUGGACCUGCGCCGUAUUAGCUAGUUGGUAAGGUAACGGCUUACCAAGGCAACGAUACGUAGCCGACCUGAGAGGGUGAUCGGCCACACUGGAACUGAGACACGGUCCAGACUCCUACGGGAGGCAGCAGUAGGGAAUCUUCCGCAAUGGGCGAAAGCCUGACGGAGCAACGCCGCGUGAGUGAUGAAGGUCUUCGGAUCGUAAAACUCUGUUAUUAGGGAAGAACAAACGUGUAAGUAACUGUGCACGUCUUGACGGUACCUAAUCAGAAAGCCACGGCUAACUACGUG